rnacentral:rRNA from 1 species
GACGAACGCUGGCGGCGUGCUUAACACAUGCAAGUCGAACGGAAAGGCGCGGCUCUUGCUGGGUGCACGAUAGGCGAACGGGUGUGUAACACGUGAGUAACCUGCCCUUGACUUUGGGAUAACUUCAGGAAACUGGGGCGAAUAUCGGGUAGGAGCUACUGAUGCGCAGGGGGGGAUGGAGAGUGUCGGCCGUUGGGGAUGGUAUCGCAGGUUAUCCGCUUGAUGGGGAGGUAGUGGCUUACCACGGGUUUGACGGGUAGGCGGCCUGGGAGGGUGACCGGCGACCAUGCGCCUGCGAGACGGACCAGUAGCCUACGUUACGCAGCAGUCGGGAAUAUUGCGCAAUGGCCGGAAGCCUGAUGUAGCAGCGCCGCGUUCGGGAUGACGGCCUUCGGGUUGUAAACAGCUUUCGCCUGUGCCGAAGAGUGAGUGACGGUACUGGGUCAAGAAGCCCCGGCUAACUACGUG